rnacentral:rRNA from 1 species
AUACGGAGGGUGCAAGCGUUAUCCGGAAUCAUUGGGUUUAAAGGGUCCGUAGGCGGGCAAUUAAGUCAGAGGUGAAAUCCCACAGCUCAACUGUGGAACUGCCUUUGAUACUGGUUGUCUUGAGUUAUAUUGAAGUAGAUAGAAUAUGUAGUGUAGCGGUGAAAUGCAUAGAUAUUACAUAGAAUACCGAUUGCGAAGGCAGUCUACUAUGUAUAUACUGACGCUAAUGGACGAAAGCGUGGGGAGCGAACAGGAUUAGAAACCCUAGUAGUCC